rnacentral:rRNA from 1 species
AGUGAACGCUGGCGGUAGGCCUAACACAUGCAAGUCGAACGGCAGCACAGUAAGAGCUUGCUCUUACGGGUGGCGAGUGGCGGACGGGUGAGGAAUACAUCGGAAUCUACUUUUUCGUGGGGGAUAACGUAGGGAAACUUACGCUAAUACCGCAUACGACCUACGGGUGAAAGCAGGGGAUCUUCGGACCUUGCGCGAUUGAAUGCGCCGAUGUCGGAUUAGAUAGUUGGCGGGGUAAAGGCCCACCAAGGCGACGAUCCGUAGCUGGUCUGAGAGGAGGAGCAGCCACACCGGAACUGAGACACGGUCCGGACUCCUACGGGAGGCAGCAGUGGGGAAUAUUGGACAAUGGGCGGAAGCCUGAUCCAGCCAUACCGCGUGGGUGAAGAAGGCCUUCGGGUUGUAAAGCCCUUUUGUUGGGAAAGAAAAGCAGCAGGUUAAUACCCCGCUGUUCUGACGGUACCAAAAGAAUAAGCACCGGCUAACUUCGUG